AAAUUGAAGAGUUUGAUCAUGGCUCAGAUUGAACGCUGGCGGCAGGCCUAACACAUGCAAGUCGAACGGUAACAGGAAGAAGCUUGCUUCUUUGCUGACGAGUGGCGGACGGGUGAGUAAUGUCUGGGAAACUGCCUGAUGGAGGGGGAUAACUACUGGAAACGGUAGCUAAUACCG
rnacentral:rRNA from 1 species